CUACGGGCGGCUGCAGUGAGGAAUAUUGCACAAUGGGGGGAACCCUGAUGCAGCAACGCCGCGUGGAGGAUGACGCAUUUCGGUGUGUAAACUCCUUUUAUAUGUCAAGAAAAUGACGGUAGCAUAUGAAUAAGCACCGGCUAACUCCGUGCCAGCAGCCGCGGUAAUACGGAGGGUGCAAGCGUUGCUCGGAAUCACUGGGCGUAAAGGACGCGUAGGCGGGUUGGAAAGUCAGGUGUGAAAUCCUACAGCUUAACUGUAGAACUGCACUUGAAACUUCUAAUCUAGAGUAUGGGAGGGGGAGAUGGAAUUAGUGGUGUAGGGGUAAAAUCCGUAGAUAUCACUAGGAAUACCGAAAGCGAAGGCGAUCUCCUGGAACAUAACUGACGCUAAGGCGUGAAAGCGUGGGGAGCAAACAGGAUUAGAUACCCCUGUAGUC
rnacentral:rRNA from 1 species